AUACGGAGGAUCCAAGCGUUAUCCGGAUUUAUUGGGUUUAAAGGGUGCGUAGGCGGACUGGUAAGUCAGCUGUGAAAGUUUGCGGCUUAACCGUAAAAUUGCAGUUGAUACUGUCAGUCUUGAGUGUGCAUGAGGUGGGCGGAAUUUGUGGUGUAGCGGUGAAAUGCUUAGAUAUCACGAGGAACUCCAAUUGCGAAGGCAGCUCACUGGGGCAUAACUGACGCUGAUGCACGAAGGUGUGGGUAUCAAACAGGAUUAGAUACCCUGGUAGUCCACACAGUAAACUAUGAAUACUCGCUGUUUGCGAUAUACAGUAAGCGGCCAAGCGAAAGCAUUAAGUAUUCCACCUGGGGAGUACGACCGCAAGGUUGAAACUUAAAGGAAUUGACGGGG
rnacentral:rRNA from 1 species